UACGUAGGGGGCAAGCGUUGUCCGGAAUCAUUGGGCGUAAAGAGCGUGUAGGCGGCCUGGUAAGUCCGCUGUGAAAGUCCAGGGCUCAACCCUGGAAUGCCGGUGGAAACUGUCAGGCUCGAGUCCGGAAGAGGCGAGUGGAAUUCCUGGUGUAGCGGUGAAAUGCGCAGAUAUCAGGAGGAACACCAAUGGCGAAGGCAGCUCGCUGGGACGGUACUGACGCUGAGGAGCGAAAGCCAGGGGAGCAAACGGG
rnacentral:rRNA from 1 species